rnacentral:tRNA from 1 species
GCCGGGGUGCCCGAGCGGUCCAAGGGGCCGGCCUGGAGAGCCGGUGGCCGAAUCAGGCCGCGCGGGUUCAAAUCCCGCCCCCGGC